UACGAAGGGGGCUAGCGUUGUUCGGAAUUACUGGGCGUAAAGCGCGCGCAGGCGGUCUUCCAAGUCAGUGGUGAAAGCCCGGAGCUCAACUCCGGAACUGCCAUUGAAACUGUAAGACUUGAGGACGAGAGAGGUGAGUGGAAUUCCCAGUGUAGAGGUGAAAUUCGUAGAUAUUGGGAAGAACACCAGUGGCGAAGGCGGCUCACUGGCCCGUUACCGACGCUCAGGCGCGACAGCGUGGGGAGCAAACAGG
rnacentral:rRNA from 1 species